rnacentral:rRNA from 1 species
ACGGCUCAUUAACACGUGGUUAACAUACCCUCAGGUGGGGGAUAACCUUGGGAAACUGAGGAUAAUACCCCAUAGAAAAAGCAGUCUGGAACGAUUCUUUUUCGAAAGCAUAUGCGCCUGAGGAUUGGACUGCGCUCGAUUAGGUAGUUGGUGGGGUAAUGGCCCACCAAGCCUACGAUCGGUACGGGCCUUGAGAGAGGAAGCCCGGAGAUGGGGACUGAGACACGGCCCCAGGCCCUACGGGGCGCAGCAGGCGCGAAACCUCCGCAAUGCACGAAAGUGCGACGGGGGGAUCCCAAGUGCUCAUGCACAGCAUGGGCUUUUAUCGAGUGUAAACAGCUUGAGGAAUAAGGGCUGGGCAAGUUCGGUGCCAGCAGCCGCGGUAACACCGACGGCCCGAGUGGUGGCCACUUUUAUUGGGCCUAAAGCGUCCGUAGCCGGUCCAGUAAGUCCUUGUUUAAAUCCUGCGGCUUAACCGCAGGACUGGCAGGGAUACUGCUGGACUUGGGACCGGGAGAGGACAAGGGUACUUCAGGGGUAGCGGUGAAAUGUGUUGAUCCUUGAAGGACCACCUAUGGCGAAGGCACUUGUCUGGAACGG